UGCCGGUAUAGCAAAACCGGCAAUUCAUGGCACAACCUACUUGACUAGAUAUACAGACAGUGUUCCUGCCCCGCUCACAAGGUAUCAGAACAGUUUCUAUUACCAGACCAUCUUCCAACUUGAAUAACAUAUGUAAGAUCCUGUAAGUGCUAUUUAUUAAGUGAUGAAUCAAAAACAAAACAGAUGGCACUCAACAUUCUAAAUAUUGCACAAGCUAUGUACCUUUUUAGUUCCAUCAGACGCUGUCAGAAUAUCUUUCAAGUUUAACGUCUUAAAUUCAGCAUGUUCACCUAACAUUUUCCUGAAAUCCUUAUUCAAAC
rnacentral:lncRNA from 1 species